GAUGAACGCUGGCGGCGUGCCUAACACAUGCAAGUCGAACGGAGUCCAGCCUUUAAGACCUUCGGGUCAAAGAGGGGAAGACUGAGUGGCGGACGGGUGAGUAACACGUGGGCAACCUGGCUCAUAGAGGGGGAUAACAGAGAGAAAUUUCUGCUAAUACCGCAUAAGCACACACUGCCGCAUGGCAGAGGGUGAAAAGAGAAUCGCUAUGAGAUGGACCCGCGUCUGAUUAGCCAGGUGGCAGGGUAAGAGCCUACCAAUGCGACGAACAGUAGCCGAUCUGAGAGGAGGAACGGCCACAUUGGGACUGAGACACGGCCCAAACUCCUACGGGAGGCAGCAGUGGGGGAUAUUGCACAAUGGGGGGAACCCUGAUGCAGCGACGCCGCGGGAGUGAAGAAGUAGUUCGGUAUGUAAAGCUCUAUCAGCAGGGAAGAGAAUGACAGUACCUGAAUAAGAAGCCCCGGCUAACUACGUG
rnacentral:rRNA from 1 species